rnacentral:rRNA from 1 species
GUCGAGCGUACCUUUGGGUCAGCGGCGGACGGGUGAGGAACACGUGUAGUGAUCGGGCUGUGAGUGGGGGAUAUCGGGCCGAAAGGCGCGGCAAUCCCGCAUACGUUCCGGGAAACCGGAAGAAAGCUUGGCAACAGGCGCUCACAGGGGAGCUCGCGGCCCAUUAGCUAGUUGGGGGGGUAAUGGCCUCCCAAGGCGACGAUGGGUAGCCGGCCUGAGAGGGUGAACGGCCACACUGGGACUGAGACACGGCCCAGACUCCUACGGGAGGCAGCAGUAGGGAAUCUUCCACAAUGGGCGCAAGCCUGAUGGAGCAACGCCGCGUGAGUGAAGACGGCCUUCGGGUUGUAAAGCUCUGUCUGUCGGGACGAAGACCGGCCCGGAAGGGCCGGGGAGCCGGUACCGACGGAGGAAGCCCCUGCAAACUACGUGCCAGCAGCCGCGGUAAGACGUAGGGGGCAAGCGUUGUCCGGAAUUACUGGGCGUAAAGGGCGUGUAGGCGGUGCGAUACGUAGCGGUUUUAAGCCUCCGGCUCACCCGGAGGAGGGCGGCUAAACGGUCGCGCUAGAGGGCAGGAGAGGUGCGUGGAAUUCCUGGUGGAGCGGUGAAAUUCGUUGAGAUCAGGAAGA